GACGAACGCUGGCGGCGCGCUUAACACAUGCAAGUCGAGCGAGGACCGAGGCUUCGGCCUCGGGGACAGCGGCGAACGGGUGAGUAACACGUGGAUAACCUGCCCUCGGCACCGGGAUAGCCCGGGGAAACCCGGAUUAAUACCGGAUGGCCCUUCCGACUCUCGGGUCGGGCGGGAAAGGUAGCUUCGGCCUCCGGCCGAGGCUGGGUCCGCGGCGGAUUAGCUUGUUGGUGGGGUAACGGCCCACCAAGGCUCCGAUCCGUAGCUGGUCUGAGAGGACGAUCAGCCACACUGGGACUGAGACACGGCCCAGACUCCUACGGGAGGCAGCAGUGGGGAAUCUUGCGCAAUGGGCGAAAGCCUGACGCAGCGACGCCGCGUGAGGGAAGAAGGCCUUCGGGUUGUAAACCUCUUUCAGCAGGGACGAAGCUACUCGGGUGAACAGCCCAGAGGGUGACGGUACCUGUAGAAGAAGCCCCGGCUAACUACGUGCCAGCAGCCGCGGUAACAC
rnacentral:rRNA from 1 species